AUAGUAUUGCAAUAGUAAUUCAACCUAGUACGAGAGGAACCGUUGAUUCGCACAAUUGGUCAUUGCGCUUGGUUGAAAAGCCAGUGGCGCGAAACUACCGUGCGCUGGAUUAUGACUGAACGCCUCUAAGUCAGAAUCCGGGCUAGAAGGGCGCAUGCCGACCCGCAGUAGGGGCCUUUGGCCCCCAAGGGCACGUGUCGUUGGCUAAGUCAUCGCGGCGGAAGAGCCGCGGUGGCCGCCUUGAAGUACAAUUUCCAUCGAGCGGCGGGUAGAAUCCUUUGCAGACGACUUAAAUACGCGAUGGGGGUAUUGUAAAUGGCAGAGUGGCCUUGAUAAAUGCAGCAGUAUGACAUCAUAUUUAAAAGCGAUAAUAC
rnacentral:ncRNA from 1 species